GAAUUUGCAUGUCAUCCUUGUGCAGGGGCCAUGCUAAUCUUCUCUGUAUUGUUCCACUUUUAGUAUAUGUGCUGCUGAAGCGAGCAC
rnacentral:snRNA from 1 species